AGAUUGAACGCUGGCGGCAUGCUUUACACAUGCAAGUCGAGCGACAGCGCGGGGGCAACCCUGGCGGCGAGCGGCGAACGGGUGAGGAAUACAUCGGAACGUACCCCGGAGUGGGGGAUAACCCAGCGAAAGUUGGACUAAUACCGCAUAUGCUCUGAGGAGGAAAGCAGGGGACUUCGCAAGAGGCCUUGCGCUCUGGGAGCGGCCGAUGUCCGAUUAGCUAGUUGGUGGGUAAUGGCUCACCAAGGCGACGAUCGGUAGCUGGUCUGAGAGGAUGAUCAGCACACUGGACUGAGACACGGCCCAGACUCCGUACGGAGGCAGCAGUGGGAAUUUUGGACAAGUGGGGUAACCCUGAUCCAGCCAUGCGCGUGCGGGAAGAGGCCUCGGUUAGUAACCGUCUUUGGUACGGAAGUAAAGGACAGGCUUGAAGUACGGACCUGUACGUUGACGGUACGCGAGAAUAAGACACCGGACUAAC
rnacentral:rRNA from 1 species